AGUUAUGGCGGCUGUGCGUGGGACGCCUUUGGGCGUGCCGGUUCCAUGGUUCCCGGUUUUCCAACCUGCGUACAGCCGCCACCUAU
rnacentral:antisense_RNA from 1 species